rnacentral:rRNA from 1 species
UACAGAGGUCUCAAGCGUUGUUCGGAUUCAUUGGGCGUAAAGGGUGCGUAGGCGGCGCGGUAAGUCGGGUGUGAAAUCUCGGAGCUUAACUCCGAAACUGCAUUCGAUACUGCCGUGCUUGAGGACUGGAGAGGAGACUGGAAUUUACGGUGUAGCGGUGAAAUGCGUAGAUAUCAAGCGGAACACCGGUGGCGAAGGCGGCCUUCUGGACAGUGACUGACGCUGAGACGCGAAAGCGUGGGGAGCAAACAGG